GGGAGCAAAAUGCCUUCAGGGAAUAUUAUAAACUCUUCUGGUCAAGGUCUCUGUCUUUAUGGCCCACUUGUAUUCAGUGAGGUUAAAGAAGUUCUGAGAUCACACCCAAGAAAAUGGACAUCCAAGCUAUCUUUUAUUCACUACAUACUGCAUCAAAAAUAAACUUACUUCCCUUUGAGGAACAAAUACGGUGUUCAAGGAAAAAAAUAAUCUGUAUCUG